rnacentral:misc_RNA from 1 species
AGUAGCCGUAUCGGAAGGUGCGGCUGGAUCACCUCCUUUCCAGAGCUAUCUCGCAAAGUUGAGCGCUCACGCUUAUCGGCUGUAAAUUAAAGACAGACUCAGGGGUCUGUAGCUCAGUCGGUUAGAGCACCGUCUUGAUAAGGCGGGGGUCGUUGGUUCGAAUCCAACCAGACCCACCAUUGUCUGACGUCGGUGAUCGUUAGCGCUUUAGCGCUUACGAGUACCCCAAGCCGACCGGCUAACACCUGAGGGUAUCUGUACUCAAUGGGGGCAUAGCUCAGCUGGGAGAGCACCUGCUUUGCAAGCAGGGGGUCGUCGGUUCGAUCCCGUCUGCCUCCACCAAUCACCAACGCUAAGUGCUUGGUUCAUAUGAUGAACCGAGAAUUUUGCAUUGGCGAUUGAGCCAGUCAGAGCGGUACGAAAGUAUCGGCUGUCGUUCUUUAACAAUCUGGAAGAAGUAAGUAAUUUGGAUAGCGGAAGCGUCUUGAGAUGGACGUGRAAACUAUCCGGGUUGUGAUUGUAUCGAUGUAUCUCAAGAUGAUUCGAACUCUAAGUUUGACUCAAUUGGAAUACGGCACAACGCGAGAACUCAACCUGUAGCGACUGUCGAUGAGACAGACUCGUUAUAGGGUCAAGCGAACAAGUGCAUGUGGUG